GUCGCCUGUUUAUCAAAAACAUGUCUUUUUGAAAAUAAUAUAAAGUCUAACCUGCCCACUGAUUUUAUUAAAGGGCCGCGGUAUAUUGACUGUGCAAAGGUAGCAUAAUCAUUUGUCUUUUAAUUGAAGGCUAGAAUGAAUGGUUGAAUGAAAUAUUAACUGUCUCAUUUUUAAAAAUUUAAAAAUUUAGCUUUUAAGUUAAAAGGCUUAAAUAAAUUUAAAAGACGAGAAGACCCUAUAGAUCUUUAUAUUUAUUUAAAUUUUAUAAUUUUGAAAAAUAUUUAAUAAAAUUUAAAUAAAUAUUUUAUUGGGGUGAUAGGAAAAUUAAAAUAACUUUUCAUAAUUAUUAAACAUAGAUUUAUGAUUAAUUGAUCCAAUUUUAUUGAUUAUAAGAUUAAGUUACCUUAGGGAUAACAGCGUAAUUUUUUUAGAGAGUUCAUAUCGAUAAAAAAGAUUGCGACCUCGAUGUUGAAUUAAAAAUUAUUUCUAGAUGCAGAAGUUUAGAGUUUAGGUCUGUUCGACCUUUAAAUUUUUACAUGAUCUGAGUUCAAACCGGA
rnacentral:rRNA from 1 species